ensembl:snRNA LOC120101165 U6 spliceosomal RNA
UUGUUUGAGCAGCAAAUAUACAAAAAUUGGAAUGAUACAGAGAAGAUUAGCAUAGCCCCUGUACAAGGAUGACAUGCAAAUUCAUGAAGCAUUCCAUAUUUUU